rnacentral:misc_RNA from 2 species
UAGGGAGACCUACCCAUUUAGAUAUCGAAAGCAAUGAGUAAAUAGAUACUAAACUGGUCUACUCUAGGUCGGCCGAGAAUCGGAAGUCUCUUUCAAAGUAUUAUUAAAGCUCUGGUCAAAUUCAGCAACUAGGUAAACCCUAGACUGCUGGGUAAAUACCAGCCAGAACCUUGAAAACUGCAUAGUAACGCGAGGCAGUUCAGUAAUCUAGUGCUUUAGCAGCAGAUAACUGAAAUG